GUAAAAGUAAGCUAAGUUUAAGCUAUUGGGUCCAUACCCCACUUAUAGAGCCAGAUCUCUCUUUUCCA
rnacentral:tRNA from 1 species